UAGUGGCGAACGGGUGAGUAACACGUGGGCAAUCUGCCCUUCACUCUGGGACAAGCCCUGGAAACGGGGUCUAAUACCGGAUAAUACCUGCCUGGGCAUCUGGGUGGGUUGAAAGCUCCGGCGGUGAAGGAUGAGCCCGCGGCCUAUCAGCUUGUUGGUGAGGUAGUGGCUCACCAAGGCGACGACGGGUAGCCGGCCUGAGAGGGCGACCGGCCACACUGGGACUGAGACACGGCCCAGACUCCUACGGGAGGCAGCAGUGGGGAAUAUUGCACAAUGGGCGAAAGCCUGAUGCAGCGACGCCGCGUGAGGGAUGACGGCCUUCGGGUUGUAAACCUCUUUCAGCAGGGAAGAAGCGAGAGUGACGGUACCUGCAGAAGAAGCGCCGGCUAACUACGUGCCAGCAGCCGCGGUAAUACGUAGGGCGCAAGCGUUGUCCGGAAUUAUUGGGCGUAAAGAGCUCGUAGGCGGCUUGUCACGUCGGGUGUGAAAGCCCGGGGCUUAACCCCGGGUCUGCAUUCGAUACGGGCUAGCUAGAGUGUGGUA
rnacentral:rRNA from 1 species